UACAGAGGUCCCAAGCGUUGUUCGGAUUCACUGGGCGUAAAGGGUGCGUAGGUGGUCAGGUAAGCCUGAUGUGAAAGCUCUGGGCUCAACCCAGAAAUGGCAUUGGAUACUAUCUGGCUAGAGGAAUGGAGGGGGGACUGGAAUACCUGGUGUAGCAGUGAAAUGCGUAGAUAUCAAGUGGAACACCAGUGGCGAAGGCGAGUCUCUGGGCAAUAACUGACGCUGAGGAGCGAAAGCGUGGGGAGCGAACAGG
rnacentral:rRNA from 1 species